AGGGCGUUUACCACGGUGUGAUUCAUGACUGGGGUGAAGUCGUAACAAGGUAACCCUAGGGGAACCUGGGGUUGGAUCACCUCCUUA
rnacentral:rRNA from 1 species